rnacentral:lncRNA from 1 species
AAUUGCUAUGCUUAGUGUGUGACUCGUUGAUUUUUUUAGGGUUAGAAUUCAAAAAAUUGGCCCCCUAAUAACCAACCCAUCACUUCGCAUUAUCUCGAUCUAAAGCUAAAGAACCAGUCAAGAUGUGACCGAUAUAUCACAUCCUUGCAGCAACUGAAAUUUUUUUUAUGUUCUUGCAAAAAUAAAUAAGAUUUUAAGUUGGAAAGCAAAAUAGAGAAGAAAGCUGUGGAUAAAUGGAAGGAUGAGAGAAAGAGAAAAAAUAUCUAUGAUAUAGAAUUCCAAUAUGUAAGGUCUAUGAGUGAUCUCAUAAAAGGCAGUGUAAUAAAGCAUCAAUACUGAUUCAUCCAUAAUUAAAUGACUCUUCUUAUAGAACAUUUUAUAGUAGAACAUUAUAGAACAAAACAAAAAAAAAUAAAGAGUUUCGAGACAAUAAAGACUGAGAAAAUUGACUCUAAGAACAAAUUUCAUUACUAAGCUCCGUUGUAAAAUUUGGACCUAAACAUUAAAGUAAGAAGUGAUGGGAACGAUGGAAACUGUGAAUCCAAAAGAUUUUAUUAAAAUGAAUCUUAAUGAUUCGCCGGUCGGG